rnacentral:tRNA from 1 species
GGUUUGUGGCUCAGUGGUAGAGCACUUGCCUAGCCCACAUGAGACACUGAGUUUGAUCCCCAGUACCA